AUGCUCCCUUUGGCAGCACAUAUAUUAAAAUUGGAACAAUACAGAGAUUAACAUGGUCCCUGCACAAGGAUACCAUGCAAAUUCAUGAAGCGUUCCAUAGUUAC